rnacentral:tRNA from 1 species
GCGAGGAUGGCGGAACUGGCAGACGCGCCAGACUUAGGAUCUGGUCCCGAAAAGGGAUGGGGGUUCAACUCCCCCUCCUCGCACCA